UUGUUUGUACUCUACUCUCUACACAUAAGCAAAUCAAUGGUAGAAAAAGUUUCAUCAUUCUCCCUUGCAGACGAAGAAAAAGGUUGAACAGAAAGAGAUUUUGUGACGAGCAAAUGAUGGAAGAUAGUUAUGGCGAGCAACCGACGUCGAUGCCGAUAACGCGGCAUAGGCGCCGGUGGGAUGUCUUCUUGAGCUUCAGGGGAGAGGAUACACGAAUUGAAUUCACGACUAAGCUUUUUAAAGAUCUGGUUGAUUGCGGCGUCCGAGUCUUCCUCGAUAACGAGGGGAUGAAUCAGGGAGACCCGAUCGCACCGAGCCUAUUGACCGCCAUUGAAGAAUCGGCUGCUGCUAUCACCAUCAUCUCUCCAAGGUAUGCCUCUUCGGGAUGGUGCCUUGAGGAGCUGUCGACGAUCCGGGACUGUGGCAUCCUCAUUCUUCCUGUGUUCUACAAAGUUGACCCUUCUGACGUUCGCCGCCAGAAUGGCACGUUUGCGAAUGAUUUCAAUGAUCUCGAAGGAAAGCAUGAACCGGAAAAGAUCCAGAGGUGGAGGAAAGCAAUGACGUAUGCCGGUGGAAUUAGUGGCUGGGUUCUCCGGAAAAAUGAUCAUGAACCUGAUCAGUCAGAGCUGAAACAUCUGACUCAGUGUUUGGUUAAAAGGGUUUUAAGUGAGAUAAGCAAAAGUCCAAUGGUGGUGGCACCUUACUCCGUUGGACUGACAUCUCCUAUGGAGAAAGUGAUGCGGUUGUUAGAAAUUAAAUCGAGCAGCAUAAAGAUCAUUGGAUUAGUUGGAAUGGGAGGGAUUGGCAAGACAACCCUUGCCAAAGCAAUCUACAAUAAAGUUAUCAGUUCCUUUGAUUCCUAUAGUUUCAUUUCCAAUGUUAGAGAAACUUUUCAACGAAAAGAUGGCCUCAUAUCUCUUCAGAAAACGCUUCUUCUUGAUCUUUCCGAUCAAAAGGACUCCCUUCCAGAUGAUGCCGAUGCUAGAAUGGAAGAGGCUUUCGCCACUUUCCAUGGUAAACGGGUUUUCAUUGUUCUAGAUGAUAUUGAUGAUUCUAGUCAGCUCACCACUUUGGUUGCCAAGAAAUGGCUAUUCUCAGGCAGCAAAAUCUUAAUUACCUCCAGAGACAAAGAUGUCCUUCAGCAGUGUUUUGCAGAUGCCAUCCACCAGGUUACAGAACUGACAGACUUUGAAUCACUGAAACUUCUCAGUUAUCAUGCGCUAAGACAAGAAAAGCCACCAGGAAGUUUUCAGAAACUAUGUGACGAAAUUGUGUCUCUUGCUAGAGGAUUACCACUGGCAUUAGAAGUAUUUGGUUCUUUCCUGUAUGACAAAAGAAGUGUUGAAGAAUGGAAAGAUGCAGUUGAAAAGCUGAAGAAGAUUCGUCCAAACGGUCUUCAGGAUGUCUUAAAGAUAAGUUUUGAUGGGCUUGACGACCAAACGAAGUGCAUAUUCCUUGAUAUUGCUUGUUUUCUUGUUGGCCUUGAAAUAACGAGAGACGAGGCAAUUAACAUCUUCGAAGGCUGUGGUUUCAGUGGCUUGACUGGUAUUAACACCUUGAUAGUGAGGUCUCUUGUGAAGGUAGACUAUAGAGACAUUUUGGUAAUGCACGAUCAGAUUAGGGACAUGGGAAGACAAAUAGUUCAAGAAGAAGACCCAGAUCUUUCAAUAUGCAGAACUAGACUGUGGGAUCCAUGUCAAAUUAUGAAUGUUAUUGAUAAUGGGAUGAUGGGCAUGGAAAACCUUCAAUGUAUCGUUCUAGACUUCAUGAAGAAGAACAUCUCAAGCAUCAGUGUCGCCCCCUCCUCCUGCUUGACCUUCUUACAGGAAUUCUUUCUAGGUCCCAAGGAAGAAGAAGGAUUAAUGCUUGUCAAUGCCAAAAAGCUCAAGUCUAUGGUCAACUUGAGACUGCUUCAUAUCAAUAACAAUGUCAAACUGAAAGGAGAUUUACCUCCAAGAGUAAGAUGGCUUAAAUGGAGAGGUUGCCCUUUAAACUAUCUUCCGCCAAGUUUUUUCCCACGGGAACUUACCGUUCUUCAUCUCCUAGAAAGCAAGAUAGAUAGUCUCCGCUGGAAUAGCGAGGUUGCAAAGAACCUGAAGGUCCUGAACCUUUACGGUUGCUACCACCUUACAAGUAUCCAAGGCUUAUCUAUGCAGAAUACUUCAUUGGAGAAAGUCAUUCUCGAACGUUGCUAUAAUCUAUCGACGAUCCAUAUAUCCAUGGAGACUACAAGAUUGUUGCGCUAUUUGAAUCUAAGCGAUUGCACUAGCCUCGUUGAAUUAUUCCCAUGCAAGGUAGUAUCCGGUUUGAGGAAUCUCGAGGUCCUCAUUCUAUCUGGCUGUUCGAAAUUUGAACAACUGCCCAAGGAUUUAGGCAUGAUGACUUCCUUAAAAGAGCUUCUUCUUGACAGAACCGCCAUAAAGAAAUUGCCCGACUCCAUAUUCCACCUUGUGAAGCUUGAAAAACUCGACCUUUCGCGUUGCAAGUUUCUCGGAGAACUCCCUAUUUGUCUCGGGCACCUUUCUUCCUUGAAGGAAUUUGAUCUUAACGGCUCUGCAGUGAAAAAAAUACCUCAAUCUAUUGAAGGUUUAGAAAAUCUCGAGAAACUAAACCUAACGUGGUGUGCUUCCCUGACUGACAUCCCUGAUUCCAUUGGCAACCUCAGAUCGUUGAUGAACUUAUCCCUAAACGGUACUCUAUUGAGAGAGAUUCCCUUUUCUAUUGGCUCUUUAUCCUACCUAAAACAACUCUCGGCCGGAGACUGCAUUCUUCUCAAGGCUUUACCUUCCUCAAUCGAAAUGUUCGGCUCUCUCGAGAGUCUUGAGCUAAACGGCACGCCAAUCACGAACCUCCCAGAUGAGAUUGGCAGGCUGAAAUCCCUUGUGAAACUCGAAAUACUGAAGUCGAAACAUCUUAGGACAUUGCCGGAGUCAAUUGGCAAUAUACUUAGCCUUAAGACUUUGCGCAUUGAGAGCACAGAACUUAAAGAGCUGCCAGAAUCUAUUGGGAAGUUAGAAAAUCUUAGCAUGCUGAGACUGAAUCAAUGUACGAACCUCAUAAAACUCCCGGGUUCAAUUGUAAACAUGAGAUCUCUACACAAUUUUCUGAUGGAGAACACUGCAGUCUCAGAGCUGCCUGAAAAGUUUGGGAUGUUAACGAACUUGAUUGUUUUGAAAAUGGGAAAGAAGCCUUACAGUGAACAGGCAAAGAAUGCCAAGGAAGCAGUUCUACCUUCAUCUUUCUCAAAACUUUGUAAAUUGGAAGAAUUUAAUGCCCGUUCUUGUAAUUUAGUAGGUGGAAUUCCAGACGAUUUCGAGAGUCUAUCCAGGUUAGAGAUUCUGAAUUUGGGUCACAAUUAUGGUAUCUGUAGUCUUCCUUCUAGCCUUAAAGGACUUGGUUUUCUCAAGAAGUUUCUCAUUCCACACUGUAAAGGGAUCAAAUCUCUCCCACCACUUCCUUCCAGUCUUGAGGAAAUUGACGCAUCCAAUUGUACCAUGUUGGAACACAUCUCUGAUCUUUCGAAUCUGGAGUAUUUAAGUCUAUUGAACUUUACAAACUGCGGUAAGCUGGAGAAUAUUCCAGGCCUUGAAUGUUUAAAGUCGUUGAGAAGGUUGUAUAUGGUUUGUUGCAAGGCAUCAUGGUCAGUUGUCAAGGAAAAACUCAACAAGACAAUUAUGAACAACUUAGAGCACUUGAGUAUUCCCGGGUGUGAAAUCCCAAGUUGGUUCGGUCCGGAAGUGAUUAACUUCACGAAGAAGCACAACAACCCGAUCAAAGCAAUUAUCAUAGCAGUUAUUGUGUGCGUUAAGCAAGAGCAGCUGAUUCACGAUCUCCCGGUGAUACCAGGCAUUUUGGCAAGAAUUGUGAGAGUAAACAUUGGGCCAGUAUUCACCAAGACAUUGGAAUUCAGAGUGCCUAAGGAGUUGGACAAAGAUCAUUUAUGUAUAUACAAAUAUCUUAUGUACAGCCCAUUAGUCUCCAUGUUGAUAGACGGCGACAAGAUAGACGUAGUUUUAAAGAAUCCUCCGCCUGCCCAGGGGGUUGAGCUGAAAGGAUGCGCGAUUAAAUUGGUUUUCGAGGGCGAUGAUUAUCACAUUGGAGAUGAGCGAUUCUUGGACGAGAGCCAACAGUCUGUGUCCAAGAGGCUAGUCAACUUCUUACAGUCUUCCUCCGAGUGAACUUGAUGAUGAUGACUCGCACGCAUAUGAAAUCAAGACUAGAUCAAGAAGUGAAACACUCUAAAUUGUGAACAGGGAAAAUAAAUAAGAACAAAAGGAAUAAGGAAUCAACAAGUGGAUGGAGGAAUGAAAGAAAUGGAAAAGGAGAUGAACCCAAUAGAGGUGCACAAAGAUUGAGAAGAUCAAGAUUGAAAUAUGAGGACUUGAUUCCCCAAGAUGAAGGCUCAACGAACAAAAGAACAGUGAAUGAAGAGAUAAAGAUGGUCUAGAGAUUACUUGCAAUAAAGCUCAAGAACUCUUAUAGUAUUAUAGCUCUAGAAGAUCUUAAGCCGAAUGCACGAAAGCAGAAGAAGACAUGGAUGGCAGUUGAGGAAGUAUAUCAUUACAGACUUCAUAACUUCUAACCAGGUGAGUGCCUCUUGGCCUUUAAACCUUUGUUUUCUCCAAUCAAACAUUCAAAGAAACAACUUCAGAAAGAAUCAAUCAUUCAUAUAUUUGUUCCACAAAUUCCAUCUAUUCAAAAAAAUAAUCUACAGGAAACAAAGAAUGUAAACGAAAUCUAUGCAAAAGAAAGAAUGGCUAACUUAUCUUCCUAGA